UACAGAGGUCUCAAGCGUUGUUCGGAUUCAUUGGGCGUAAAGGGUGCGUAGGUGGCGGGGCCAGUCAGGUGUGAAAUCCCGGGGCUUAACCCUGGAACUGCAUUGAUACUGCCUUGCUAGAGAACUGGAGAGGAGACUGGAAUUUACGGUGUAGCAGUGAAAUGCGUAGAGAUCGUAAGGAAGACCAGUGGCGAAGGCGGCUCUCUGGGCCUGUCCUGACGCUGAGGCGCGAAAGCUGGGGGAGCGAACAGGAUUAGAAACCCUUGUAGU
rnacentral:rRNA from 1 species